rnacentral:rRNA from 1 species
AGGACGAACGCUGGCGGCGUGCUUAACACAUGCAAGUCGAACGGAAAGGCCCGCUUGCGGGUACUCGAGUGGCGAACGGGUGAGUAACACGUGGGCAACCUGCCCUCAGCUUCGGGAUAACACUUGGAAACAGGUGCUAAUACCGGAUAAUAACCUUUCAUCGCAUGGUGUGGGGUUCAAAGUUUUUCGGCUGGGGAUGGGCCCGCGGCCUAUCAGCUUGUUGGUGGGGUAAUGGCCUACCAAGGCGACGACGGGUAGCCGGCCUGAGAGGGCGACCGGCCACACUGGGACUGAGACACGGCCCAGACUCCUACGGGAGGCAGCAGUGGGGAAUAUUGCGCAAUGGGCGGAAGCCUGACGCAGCGACGCCGCGUGAGGGAUGACGGCCUUCGGGUUGUAAACCUCUUUCAGCUCUGACGAAGCGAGAGUGACGGUAGGAGCAGAAGAGCACCGGCCAACUACGCGCCAGCAGGCCGC